UACGUAGGGCGCAAGCGUUGUCCGGAAUUAUUGGGCGUAAAGAGCUCGUAGGUGGCGUGUCGCGUCUGCCGUGAAAGCCCAUGGCUUAACUGUGGGUCUGCGGUGGAUACGGGCAGGCUGGAGGCUGGUAGGGGCAAGCGGAAUUCCUGGUGUAGCGGUGAAAUGCGCAGAUAUCAGGAGGAACACCCGUGGCGAAGGCGGUUCUCUGGGACGGUACUGACGCUGAGACGCGAAAGCGUGGGGAGCGAACAGG
rnacentral:rRNA from 1 species